CUCUGUCUCCGGCUGAACCAGGGGCCAAAUUAAGAUAGUCGGACAAUGGUGGACAUCUACGUCAACGUUGACACUCUUAAACCAUCAGCAGCUUCACCAAACCAGCCAGAAAGAAGAUGCAUUGAUCUCGCCGCCACACCACUCCACAGACAGCUCUCUGUUUCCAGCUGAACCAGGGACCCAUUGAAGAUAGUUGGACAAUGGAGGACAUCUACAUCAACGUUGACCCUCUUAAACCAUCAGCAGCUUCACCAAACCAGCCAGGGCACCUGGGACCCAGAGCCAAGGGAACACGGAGGAGCCGCUGGGGACCUGCGGUACUUGGUCUGGGGCUUCUGUGUGCUGGU